rnacentral:rRNA from 1 species
UACGGAGGGUGCAAGCGUUGCUCGGAAUUAUAGGGCGUAAAGGGUAGGUAGGUGGUCUUAUUUGUCUGGGGUGAAAGCCUUGAGCUUAACUCAAGAAGUGCCCCAGAAACGGUAAGACUAGAGUCCUGGAGAGGGUCGUGGAAUUCCCGGUGUAGCGGUGAAAUGCGUAGAGAUCGGGAGGAACACCAGAGGCGAAGGCGGCGACCUGGACAGGUACUGACACUCAACUACGAAAGCGUGGGGAG